rnacentral:tRNA from 1 species
GCCUAGUUAGCUUGGAGGGUAGUGCGUCUGCCUUGUAUGCGCUAGGUCGCGGGUUCGAUUCCCGCCCGGGGCG